GUUCAUAUUCAGAGAGAAAGUAGAUCAAACAAUGAAACCAUAUGUACUCAGAGAAAAACUGUAGGUUAGGAAAAAUUAGGGACCAAAACUGAUAAAACAGUAAACUAUUUUAAACAAAAGACCUAAAACAAAAUUAUGGAACACAGCCCAUGGGUAAACACGUCAACAGCAACAGUAUUUACUAAAACAAGAACCCUUUCCCUCUCUAACAUAUCUUAGUCUAAACAAGUGGAAGGGGAGAAAUGAUGUAGAAUUAUUGCUUUGCCCAUUUUAAAAAAGGGGAUUUCAUCUAAAAUGUAACUUUUUAAGGGAGAAAAAAAGAACAAAGAAUCCAUGACGACAACCCAGAUUUAAAAUUCUUAGGUAUUUGGGUAACAACAACUAGAGCUCAGUGGUACAAACUUUGCCUCUCAAGCUGGUCUUAGAACAUGAAGGAAAAAAAAACUGAACAAUUCAAAUACUACCUGAAUUCAACUACUACCUGAAAGGUACCAGUUGCCUUGCAUUCACUUGUCAUCAAGAUGACUUAAGGAAUACUGCAGUGUGUGCCCCUAAUGAAGGCUUUAUCUCCAUAUUACAGUUAAAAUACUGAAGAGGCAUAACCUGACCAAGGCCACAGAGCUGGAAAAAGAAGCAAAGCCAAGCCCUUUUUCUCAUGCACUGCUCACAACAAGCCACUCCUUCCACUGACUCAUGAAAAACACACUCAUACUGCCCAGCCAGCACCCUAAUGAACAACCCUCUUAGAGUGGUCACCAGACUUCAAUUGCACAGACUAGAAUUCAGAAAUGGAAGAAAACCUUGGGAUACCAGCCUUCCAUUUUGGUAAGGAUCAUUUAAAAAAUGUGUUGGUGUCUGAAACCUACUUUGAAGUGUUUAAAAAACAUAAAAUGUAUAGAUUAUAACAAGCAAAUAUGUUAAAAUGUACUGUACAAUUCUUUACAAUUUUAUGGAUGUUUGAAAUUUCAAAAAUACUAAAAAGAGAAUGGUCUUA